CCUGGAGUUGUAGUUCUCGUCGCCCGGCCGGGCCGGGCCCGGAAGGGGGGCGGGGAGAGGCUGGACUACAACUCCCAGCGGCCCCCGGGCGCUGCAGCCUGACACCCCGCUAGCUCCCCGCUGCCAGGCCAGCCUGCUCACCAUGGCCGUUUCUCGGGGCCACCCUGCCCCGGAGGAGAGUCUGGGGCUCUACCAGCGGGGUCUCAGGGGAAGACAGCGGUUUUACUCUGAAAGUGUUCUGUAGAUCUCUGGCAUUGUAGGAGCAUUGAGAAGCAGCGUGUACCCUGUGUUUACUUGUUUUGAUGUCUCUCUCCCCUCUUCUGGUAAAUCUGGUCUGGGCAGGGAUUGCCUCUCUUUAUUGCUGAACUGUACUUUCCAAGCACUGCACACGGUAAGCACUCAAU
rnacentral:lncRNA from 1 species